rnacentral:rRNA from 1 species
AGAGUUUGAUCAUGGCUCAGAACGAACGCUGGCGGCAUGCCUAACACAUGCAAGUCGAACGGGAUCCUAGCUUGCUAGGUGAGAGUGGCGGACGGGUGAGUAACACGUGGGAAUCUGCCUUUUGGUUCGGGAUAACUCCGGGAAACUGGAGCUAAUACCGGAUGAGCCCGAGCAAUCGGGGAAAGAUUUAUCGCCAAAAGAGGGGCCCGCGUCCGAUUAGGUAGUUGGUGGGGUAACGGCCUACCAAGCCUACGAUCGGUAGCUGGUCUGAGAGGAUGAUCAGCCACACUGGGACUGAGACACGGCCCAGACUCCUACGGGAGGCAGCAGUGGGGAAUAUUGGACAAUGGGCGCAAGCCUGAUCCAGCAAUGCCGCGUGGAUGAUGAAGGCCUUAGGGUUGUAAAGUCCUUUCGGCGGGGACGAUGAUGACGGUACCCGCAGAAGAAGCCCCGGCUAACUUCGUG